rnacentral:lncRNA from 1 species
AAACGCAACGUAUUUUCUUAGGUUAAUUGCAUACAAUUCUAUAUAAACAUAUCGAAUAUAAGGUAUAUUCCUAUAAAGUUUAACUUUGUAUAUUUAUCUUUACAAAACUUUUAACAUUUUCAAAGAUUCUCUUGCUAUUAUGAUCCAUUAGAAAAAUAUAGUUAAUCAUAGAUAAAAUACUUCUGUUAAUGAAUGAGGUAAAUUAAUCUUUUUACUCCUCUUAUAUUAUUUGUGAUGGUAGAAAGAAAGAAGAUAAUCAUUGAAAAUUUUUGAAAGGAUAUUUUUAUAUAAUUUUAGCAGUUGGGCUUUUGAAAGAAUAUAUUUAUAAUGACAAAAAUAUUAUUUUACUUAUUUUCUAUUAAAUAAUAAUAAAUAUUGAUCUACAGAUAAUAAAUCAGAGGGGCAGAUAUGAAUAAUACUAAAUUUUUUAUAAAAUAAAUAUAAAAAAUUGAAUUUUAUAGAAAUAUAUUUAAUGUUCGUUUAUACGGAGAUUUAUGAAAUUAA